rnacentral:rRNA from 1 species
CAAGGAAUCUUCCGCAAUGGGCGCAAGCCUGACGGAGCAACGCCGCGUGCGGGAUGACGCCUCUCGGGGUGUAAACCGCUGUUCGGGGGGACGAAGCACUGACGGUACCCCCGGAGGAAGGCCCGGCUAACUACGUGCCAGCAGCCGCGGUAAUACGUAGGGGUCGAGCGUUGUCCGGAGUUACUGGGCGUAAAGCGUGCGCAGGCGGCUCGUUGCGCCCGGCGUGAAAGCCCCCGGCUCAACCGGGGAGGGUCGUCGGGGACGGGCGAGCUUGAGGGUAUCAGGGGCUGGUGGAAUUCCCGGUGUAGUGGUGAAAUGCGUAGAGAUCGGGAGGAACACCCGUGGCGAAGGCGGCCAGCUGGGAUACACCUGACGCUGAGGCACGAAGGCGUGGGGAGCGAACGGGAUUAGAUACCCCGGUAGUCCACGCAGUAAACGAUGCAGACUAGGCGUGGGGGGACUUGACCCCUCCGUGCCGGAGCUAACGCGGGAAGUCUGCCGCCUGGGGAGUACGGCCGCAAGGCUAAAACUCAAAUAG